GGUUAAGCGACUAAGCGUACACGGUGGAUGCCCUGGCAGUCAGAGGCGAUGAAGGACGUGCUAAUCUGCGAAAAGCGCCGGCGAGGUGAUAUGAACCCUUGACCCGGCGAUGUCCGAAUGGGGAAACCCAGUGUGUUUCGACACACUAUCGUUAACUGAAUACAUAGGUUAACGAGGCGAACCGGGGGAACUGAAACAUCUAAGUACCCCGAGGAAAAGAAAUCAACCGAGAUUCCCCCAGUAGCGGCGAGCGAACGGGGAGCAGCCCGGAGUCUGAAUCAGCUUGUGUGUUAGUGGAACGGUCUGGAAAGUCCGACGGUACAGGGUGAUAGUCCCGUACACGAAAAUACACUUGCUGUGAACUCGAAGAGUAGGGCGGGACACGUGGUAUCCUGUCUGAAUAUGGGGGGACCAUCCUCCAAGGCUAAAUACUCCUGACUGACCGAUAGUGAACCAGUACCGUGAGGGAAAGGCGAAAAGAACCCCGGCGAGGGGAGUGAAAAAGAACCUGAAACCGUGUACGUACAAGCAGUGGGAGCACCUUCGUGGUGUGACUGCGUACCUUUUGUAUAAUGGGUCAGCGACUUAUAUUCUGUAGCAAGGUUAACCGUAUAGGGGAGCCGAAGGGAAACCGAGUCUUAACUGGGCGUUAAGUUGCAGGGUAUAGACCCGAAACCCGGUGAUCUAGCCAUGGGCAGGUUGAAGGUUGGGUAACACUAACUGGAGGACCGAACCGACUAAUGUUGAAAAAUUAGCGGAUGACCUGUGGCUGGGGGUGAAAGGCCAAUCAAACCGGGAGAUAGCUGGUUCUCCCCGAAAGCUAUUUAGGUAGCGCCUCGUGAACUCAUCUUCGGGGGUAGAGCACUGUUUCGGCUAGGGGGCCAUCCCGGCUUACCAACCCGAUGCAAACUACGAAUACCGAAGAAUGUUAUCACGGGAGACACACGGCGGGUGCUAACGUCCGUCGUGAAGAGGGAAACAACCCAGACCGCCAGCUAAGGUCCCAAAGUCAUGGUUAAGUGGGAAACGAUGUGGGAAGGCACAGACAGCCAGGAUGUUGGCUUAGAAGCAGCCAUCAUUUAAAGAAAGCGUAAUAGCUCACUGGUCGAGUCGGCCUGCGCGGAAGAUGUAACGGGGCUAAACCAUGCACCGAAGCUGCGGCAGCGACACUAUGUGUUGUUGGGUAGGGGAGCGUUCUGUAAGCCGUUGAAGGUGUGCUGUGAGGCAUGCUGGAGGUAUCAGAAGUGCGAAUGCUGACAUAAGUAACGAUAAAGCGGGUGAAAAGCCCGCUCGCCGGAAGACCAAGGGUUCCUGUCCAACGUUAAUCGGGGCAGGGUGAGUCGACCCCUAAGGCGAGGCCGAAAGGCGUAGUCGAUGGGAAACAGGUUAAUAUUCCUGUACUUGGUGUUACUGCGAAGGGGGGACGGAGAAGGCUAUGUCAGCCGGGCGACGGUUGUCCCGGUUUAAGCAUGUAGGCGGAGGUUCCAGGUAAAUCCGGUACCUUUUAACGCUGAGGUGUGAUGACGAGGCACUACGGUGCUGAAGUGAUAAAUGCCCUGCUUCCAGGAAAAGCCUCUAAGCAUCAGGUAACACGAAAUCGUACCCCAAACCGACACAGGUGGUCAGGUAGAGAAUACCAAGGCGCUUGAGAGAACUCGGGUGAAGGAACUAGGCAAAAUGGUGCCGUAACUUCGGGAGAAGGCACGCUGAUAUGUAGGUGAAGCCCCUGCGGGCGGAGCUGAAAUCAGUCGAAGAUACCAGCUGGCUGCAACUGUUUAUUAAAAACACAGCACUGUGCAAACACGAAAGUGGACGUAUACGGUGUGACGCCUGCCCGGUGCCGGAAGGUUAAUUGAUGGGGUUAGCGGCAACGCGAAGCUCUUGAUCGAAGCCCCGGUAAACGGCGGCCGUAACUAUAACGGUCCUAAGGUAGCGAAAUUCCUUGUCGGGUAAGUUCCGACCUGCACGAAUGGCGUAAUGAUGGCCAGGCUGUCUCCACCCGAGACUCAGUGAAAUUGAACUCGCUGUGAAGAUGCAGUGUACCCGCGGCAAGACGGAAAGACCCCGUGAACCUUUACUAUAGCUUGACACUGAACACUGGUCCUUGAUGUGUAGGAUAGGUGGGAGGCUUUGAAGCGUGGACGCCAGUCUGCGUGGAGCCGUCCUUGAAAUACCACCCUUUAAUGGCUGGUGUUCUAACGUAGACCCGUGAUCCGGGUUGCGGACAGUGUCUGGUGGGUAGUUUGACUGGGGCGGUCUCCUCCCAAAGAGUAACGGAGGAGCACGAAGGUUGGCUAAUCCUGGUCGGACAUCAGGAGGUUAGUGCAAUGGCAUAAGCCAGCUUGACUGCGAGCGUGACGGCGCGAGCAGGUGCGAAAGCAGGUCAUAGUGAUCCGGUGGUUCUGAAUGGAAGGGCCAUCGCUCAACGGAUAAAAGGUACUCCGGGGAUAACAGGCUGAUACCGCCCAAGAGUUCAUAUCGACGGCGGUGUUUGGCACCUCGAUGUCGGCUCAUCACAUCCUGGGGCUGAAGUAGGUCCCAAGGGUAUGGCUGUUCGCCAUUUAAAGUGGUACGCGAGCUGGGUUUAGAACGUCGUGAGACAGUUCGGUCCCUAUCUGCCGUGGGCGCUGGAGAAUUGAGGGGGGCUGCUCCUAGUACGAGAGGACCGGAGUGGACGCAUCACUGGUGUUCGGGUUGUCAUGCCAAUGGCACUGCCCGGUAGCUAAAUGCGGAAGAGAUAAGUGCUGAAAGCAUCUAAGCACGAAACUUGCCCCGAGAUGAGUUCUCCCUGAGACUUUAAGUCUCCUGAAGGAACGUUGAAGACGACGACGUUGAUAGGUCGGGUGUGUAAGCGCAGCGAUGCGUUGAGCUAACCGAUACUAAUGAACCGUGAGGCUUAACCUU
rnacentral:rRNA from 1 species